CUCGAGAUGAUAUUUUCUUCUACCUUGUUUAAUAUCAUGGUGCAUCUUUCUGUUCAUUUUUCACAUGAGGCUAGACUGGGUGGGCCAGUACAUACGGGAUGGAUGUACCCAAUUGAAAGAUAAUUGUAUGAUAUUAUAAUAUUUAUUAUUUAUUAUUAUAUUCUUUAUUAUAUAUGUAUAUCAAUUGAUAAUUUAUUGAAUAGGAGGAUGCGAGAAUAUAAGAGUGCCAUCGCUAAUAAAGCAUGGCCUGAAGGUUCAA
rnacentral:lncRNA from 1 species